ACUAUUUUGGCAGAAAAAUGUAGUGAUUUUAGAAAUCAUGAAUGUAUAAAUUAUUAUAUAGGUAGUA
rnacentral:tRNA from 1 species